rnacentral:rRNA from 1 species
UACGUAGGGGGCAAGCGUUGUCCGGAAUCAUUGGGCGUAAAGCGCGUGUAGGCGGCUUGGUAAGUCCGCUCUGAAAGCCCGGGGCUCAACCCCGGGAGGCGGGUGGAUACUGUCAAGCUCGAGUCCGGAAGAGGCGGGUGGAAUUCCUGGUGUAGCGGUGAAAUGCGCAGAUAUCAGGAGGAACACCAAUGGCGAAGGCAGCUCGCUGGGACGUGACUGACGCUGAGACGCGAAAGCGUGGGGAGCAAACAGG